GAUGAAGAACGUAGCGAAAUGCGAUAAGUAAUGUGAAUUGCAGAAUUCAGUGAAUCAUCGAAUCUUUGAACGCACAUUGCGCCCGCCAGUAUUCUGGCGGGCAUGCCUGUUCGAGCGUCAUUUCAACCAUCAAGCCCCCGGGCUUGUGUUGGGGACCUGCGGCUGCCGCAGGCCCUGAAAAGCAGUGGCGGGCUCGCUGUCACACCGAGCGUAGUAGAUUUUAUCUCGCUCUGGGCGUGCUGUGGGUUCCGGCCGUUAAACCACCCUUUUAACCCAAGGUUGACCUCGGAUCAGGUAGGAAGACCCGCUGAACUUAAGCAUAUCAAUAAGCGGAGGA
rnacentral:misc_RNA from 1 species